rnacentral:lncRNA from 1 species
CGAGAAUGCGCUGACACUUGGGGAGGGCGAAACGCGUGAAUUUACUUGCGAAACGGAUUUCCAGCCUGGCAGUAAGCCAGCAACGUAUGCCCUUUUUGUCGCUUUCGCAGACUCGUAACGCUCGUCGCUAGAAGGAUUUGGUUGUAUUAAUUUGGAUUUUUCCGGUAAGCGAGAAAGUAUUAGUUGCGCACUAACUCAGUAGUUGGUGUGUCGGCGCUAGGGUAAAAGACUCGAAAGUUUU